GAAAAUUCUGCGAAACGUUAAUCACGCGACGCAUAUCCAUAUAUAAGAUAGACACCCUUAUGAAGUUCACUGGGACCUUUUCAAUUGUGAUAAAAGAGAGAUUUAGAGCACCCAAACCACAAAAGAAACCUCAUCACAAAAGAUUUUAAUUUGCAUUAAAAAAACUAGAUGCGCAAGAUGUUGAUGUAUUGUUUACAUUGUAAAGCCUGGACAGAAUGCGUGGUUGAUUCCACAAUUCCUCCCAGCAGUAACCCAAAAAGGUCAGAAACAAAAAUAUUUUAGGAACAUGCACAAAAUGUGGAUCAAAGACGUCCGAAAUUGUUGGCUGAUGAUAUUUGAUUG